CAGUAGCCGCGGUAAUACGUAGGUCCCGAGCGUUGUCCGGAUUUAUUGGGCGUAAAGCGAGCGCAGGCGGUUUCUUAAGUCUGAUGUGAAAGCCCCCGGCUCAACCGGGGAGGGUCAUUGGAAACUGGGAAACUUGAGUGCAGAAGAGGAGAGUGGAAUUCCACGUGUAGCGGUGAAAUGCGUUGAGAUCGGAAAGAACACCAACGGCGAAAGCACUCUGCUGGGCCGACACUGACACUGAGAGACGAAAGCUAGGGGAGCAAAUGGGAUUAGAUACCCCAGUAGUCCCUGUCUCUUAUAC
rnacentral:rRNA from 1 species